AAAAGACAAAAAAAAAAAAAAGUAUUGAAAACCUAUAGUGUCUAUUUCAUAACAAAAUUGGGAUUAAAGUACAAGGAUCCAUGUGACCCCCAACUUGUGUCGAUCACUUUAUGAUUUGCAAGGCUCUAGCCCCUUGCCUUGGCAUGGUGGCACAGCCUAAAAUGUCAACUUUCUUGUCACUUGAUAGAGGUCUUCCUGGGCAUGUCCCCAGACUAGAUUCCAUAGGAUGGGAGAAAAUUACUACUACUGCAGAAUACCACUUUUUCUUCCUAUUCCCUCUAGGCUUUGUGAAACCAUACUCAGAUGUUAUGUAGCCCUAUCUCACCUUAAAUGUAAAUAACCAAAUGAUUUUAAGUUUUUCAGCCUUGACAUUCUAGAAUCUCUGUAUGGCGAGAUUUACAAAAUUUAUAUAGAAAUGCACUGAAGUUCUUAAAAUAAACAUUGACGUUCCCUAAGACUUAAUCUUUAGAUCUCUCAGCUACACUGUGUAACCUUGUUGAUCUCAUCUAACCUCACAAUUCGAAGCAUCUAUAAUCUUUCUACUUCCAAGUUUAUAUGUCACCUCUCAAACUGCUCUUCUUUUGAAUGUCUAGUAGGUUUUUUGAACUCGAUGUGUCCAAAACUGAGUUGCUGAUUGCUUUCAUUCUGAUUUUUCUAGUCUUCCCAUGUAAUAAAUGGCACUUCUAAACUUCUUUCUCAAGACAAAAACCCCUGAAAUUACCUGUAGUUCUCCUUUCUCCCAAACCCCACAACCAACUAGUUUAGCUCUUUAAAAUGUAACUGUAAUCAAUCAAUUUCCAUUCCUUCUGCUACCAUUUUUAGUCAAGCCACCCUUAUCUUUUGAUUGGGUUAUUAUGGUAGUUUAAAAAAGUAUUUUUUAUUAGAGUAUAGUUGAUUUACAGUGUUAUGUCAAUUUCUCCUGUACAGCAUAGUGACCCAACCACUUUUCUCAUAUUAUCUUACUUACAUCAUGGUUUAUCCCAAGUAUGGGAAGGUCCUACCCCUUCCUUCCUUGGCUUCCUAUAACUAAAUCUUAUCACAGCAGCCAGAAUCAUUCUGUUCAAAUGUCUGUAGCUUUCUGUUUCACUCCAGAUCAGAACAGAACAGUUUUUUGUUUUUUCUUGUCUUUUUGCUUUUUCUAGGGCCACUUCCCACAGCAUAUGGAGGUUCCCAGGCUAGGGGUCUAAUUGGAGCUGUAGCUGCCAAGCCUAUGCUAGAGCCACAGCAACUCGGGAUCCGAGCCGCGUCUGCGACCUACCCCACAGCUCGCGGCAAUGCUGUAUCCUUAACCCACUGAGCAAGGCCAGGGACCGAACCUGCAACCUCAUGGUUCUUAGUCAGAUUCGUUAACCACUGAGCCACGUCGGGCUAGGGGUCGAAUUGGAGCUGUAACUGCCAGCCCAUACCACAGCCACAGGAGUACGGGAUCUGAGCUGCGUCUGUAACCUACAUCAUAGCUCAUGUCAACACUGGAUCCUUAACCCACCGAGUGAGGCUAGGGAUCGAACCUGAGUCCUUAUGGAUAUUAGAUUCAUUACCACUAAGCCAUGACAGAAACUCCCACACCAAUAGAUUUUAAACUGUUCAUUGGAAAGCCUUUCAAAAUGACCAGGUUUUUACUCAAAUUUAAGAAUAUGAGUUCCCAUGAUGGCUCAGCAGAAACAAAUCUGACGAGUAUCCAUGAGGACGCAUGUUUGCUCCCUGGUCUCACUCGGUGGGUUAAGGAUCUGGCGUUGCUGUGAGCUGUGGUGUAGGUCACAGACAUGGCUCAGAUCUGGUGUCGCUAUGGCUGUGGUGUAGGCCAGUAGCUACAGCUCUGAUUCAAACUUUUAUAUGCUGUGUGUGCAGCCCUAAAAAAAAAGCCAAAAGAAAAUUUAGCUAUUCUAUGUACAUAAUUUUGCAUUUCCAAUUUUAGAACUGUCUUCCUAGUUUUCACAAAGAGAAAACCUGCUGGGAUUUUUAUUGGAAUUGCAUUGAAUAAAUAGAUCAAUCUGAGAAAACAAAAAUGUAAACAAUAUUGAGUUUUCUAACCUAUGAACACUGUAUAGCUUUCCAUUCAUUUAGGUUGUCUUUUGGCUCUAUAUAGAAAUUUAGUUUGAUAGUAUUUUUGUCAACGUUAUAACUUCCUGCCUACAACAUUCACUUCUUAUGUAAUAAAUGACCUAAUACUUGCCUGACUUUGGCUAUCCACAGUAUUCUGGCAUUGCUGAUUUCAGUGUCACAGAUUUGUGAAAAGAGAAGGGAUUUGGUAGAUUUUUGCAAGAAACUGUUCUAGAACAGAGGUAAUUAAUGUUAAAUCGCCACCACUGUUUACUGCCUAGUGGAUAAAUUAACUUCCCUGUGGGAAACAAAAACAACUCAAUGUUAACUCUUCUCCAAAGCUGAUGGAUUCCACUCGACCUCUCCAAAUAGAAGGCCAAAAAUCCCAAUUGUUAAAUAAAUAUUGUUACUGAGGAUCCAAGAUGUGGGAAGGACAAAGAACAGGGCCAACCUUACCAAUAGUUUCUGACCUUUAAAGGCAAAUGAAACCCUGCCCUGGCAUCUUCCAGUCACUGCAGAGAGUGGCUGAGUAGGGCAGAGGAGAAGGAAUGAGUGUGGGCCUCUUGUCUGUAGGGAAUAUGCUGAUCAAGUGGGAAGUCAGAGAGCAGAGUAAUAUAAUCAUGAUAUUAAAUCACAAACAUGACAUGCAUUUUUUUUCAGCAAAAACAAUGCCAUUUUCUAUAUGCUAUUUUGCAGAGUUGGUUAAUUCAUAUUUUGGGGAGUGGUGUGCAGUGGGGCAUAUGGUUAUUUAUGUUUUGCACAAACUUUAAGACAUUGUGUGUACUGACAACAAGUUUAAAUGAGACAUCAGUGAUUGGUCAAGCUCUUGGAAGGUCAUCUCUAUGCCAAGUAAGCAUAUUUUUUAUAUGAAAAACACCAUGAAUUCAUUCAGCAAAGCAUCAAGGAAAAUUAUAGAAGUUUGGAUGCUAGUCAGAUUGGGAUGGGAACUGAGCCAUCAUGGGAACUCCUUUAUUUAUUUUAUUUUUGGCUAGAGAUUAAUUUGAAGUGUUUCUGAUCAUUUAUGCAAUUACUGAAGGUCUUCAGUAUUAUAAUAGAUGCCAAUACCACUCACAGCUGCUUUUCACUGAAAUAUUUUUCUAAAUUACUCAGUGAAUUUUAUUACAUUUAUAGUUGUACAGUGAUCAUCACAACCCAAUUUUACAGCAUUUCCAUCACAAUUCACUGAAAUAUUUUAAAAUCUACAUCUGUCACUGUAAAAAGUCAUGUCAAAUUUAUUUCUCCACCCUUGUCAUUACCUUGUACUGGCACUUUUAAAGGGAAAGGAUGAAAGAAAGCAUAUAUGUGGACACUAUUCAAUACACUGUAUUCUUCAUUGAUCUUCAGGUGUACAGCAAAGUUAUUUAUAUAUAUAUGUGUAUUUCAGAUUAUUUUCCAUUAUAAGUUAAACAUUCUCUUUGAAGAAAUGUUUCUUUAGGUUCUUUUGCCCGUUUUUUUUAAUUUGAACAUUGUGAGAUGUUGACUUGUAUGACCUCUUUAUGUAUUUUGGAAAUUGAGCCCUUGUUCAUCACAUCACUUGCAAAUAUUUUCCCACAGUCUGUGGAUUGUUUUUGUUUGUGGUUUCCUUUGUGGUGCAAAAGUUUUUAUGUUUGAUUAGAUCCCAUUUGUUUAUUUCUGGUUUUAUGUCUUUUGCCUUGGGAGACUGUGAUCUAAGAAAAUUUUGCUACUAUUUAUGUCAGAGAAUGUUGUGCCUAUUUUUUUUCUUCUAGGAGUUUUAUGUCAUUCUUAUAUUUAAGUCUGAUAGGGACAGAGCAAAGGGACAAAGUAGUUGAUUAAAUAGUUAAUCUCAGUAGGGGAUUGUAAGUAAAGAAAAUAGUAUGGGAGAACCCUGUAAGUUAAUGAUCAUUCAAGAAAGCAGGCUUGCUUAACCACAAAACCAUGCAACAUAGCCUAAGACAUAACCCCCAAACAAUAAAACAAUGGUGGAAAGAGACCCAUAUCUUGCCCAGUGAGGUUUUAGUAAGUUAAUGAUUCCUAGUAUAUGCUUCUCUGGGCACACUAAAAACAAAAAUAUAGGAAAAGGUGAUGUUAUAUUGAAAGCUGAAAUAUUUCUCAUAUUUAAUGUGUUACCAUGUUUUGCUCAUUUCCAUUGGUCCAUGACAGUCUCAGUUUGACCUUGUAGGGACAAGAAAACCCCCCUGCCCAACAUGGAGGAGGAGCUAACGAUGGAAGUUUAAUGUCUACUCAAGAAUGAGGAAGAAAGUGGUCUCCUCCCCUCCCCACUUCCCCUUUGAUUAUAAAACUGUAACACUAAGUUCUCAGGGCAUGGCCAUAGCACCCCCUUGCCCACCCACUGGUAUUUCUCACAACUCUCUCCCUACCUGUCCCUCUGCCUCUCGCUGAAUUCUUUUUUACUCCAGGACAGAAAAACAUACACUUUAUUACUAAGUUCUGAGACUGUGUUCUGCCGGUUUCAGGUCUUUAAACAAUUUUGAGUUUAUUUUUGUAUACUGUGUGAGGGAGUGUUCUAAUUUCACUGAUUUACAUGAGACUGUCCAGCUUUCCCAACACUACCUGCUGAAGAGACUGUCAGUCAUCUCCAUGCCUCCUUUGUUGAAGAUUAAUAGGCUAUAGUUAAGUGUGUUUAUUUUUGAGCAUUGUUUUUAAUCCUUUGCUGGCUCUUCUGAGCAAAACCUCAAAGCCAUGCAACAUAGCAUAAGGCUUUUCUAAGAGCACAAAAAUGGCUGUAACAGUCCCUGCAGAAACCAGAGAAUUCUAUCCUGUUCCAAACAGCAGUAAAGUCUAGCUUCUGGUUCUGGUAUCACUAAAGCUAAGCAGCCCUUGUCUGAGGCAAUGAUCAGAUAAAUCCCUUUUGAUGCUAACAACUUCCUCCUGUGACACUACAGUCACUAGAGAGGGAGUGUGUGUGUGUGUGGCUAGGAGUGAAAACUGAGGAAGGAAAUGGGAGGGAGGAUUAUUUGAAAAUUUUAAGAUCUACCAAGACAGACCUUGCCUUUUCUUUUUUGCUCAACAUGAUAAUCCCAUACCUAGCAGAUACAUUGUUGAAUGUGUUCCCAGUAUAUUUUUAACGUCCUUAUUUGAAGGAUUAUUGUGAAUUCUUUUUUUUUUUUUUUUUUUUUUUUUUUUUUUUUUUUUGUCUUUUUGCUUUUUCUAGGGCCACUUCCCACAGCAUAUGGAGGUUCCUAGGCUAGGGGUCUAAUUGGAGCUGUAGCUGCCAAGCCUAUGCUAGAGCCACAGCAACUCGGGAUCCGAGCCGUGUCUGCGACCUACCCCACAGCCCGCGGCAAUGCUGGAUCCUUAACCCACUGAGCAAGGCCAGGGAUCGAACCCGCCUCCUCAUGGUUCUUAGUCGGAUUCGUUAACCACUGAGCCACGAGAACUCCCGUGAAUUCUACUUUAUACAAUCUGCUAAGUUUUAACACAGUUAUAUACCCAUAUUACCCUAUAACAAUCAAGAUAAUAAACCUAUCAUGCCCCAUAUUUUCCUGAGGCCCCUUGGGAAACCUUCCCUAUCACCUCUGCCCCACUUUACUUCAUCUCCAGGUAACCACUGAUUUGCUGUCACUAUUGAUUAGUUUGCAUUUUGUAGAAAUUUAUAUAACUAUACUGUAUGUGUCUUUGGCUUUCUUCAGCAUAUUAUUUUGAGGUAAUCUGUGUUGUAGUGUGUAUCAGUAGUUCAUUUCUCUGUACUGCUGAUAAAAAUUCCAUUGGACAUAUCACUAUUUGUUCAUCCUUUAAUCUGUUGAGAUGCACAUUUGGAUUGUUUCUGGUUUAGAUGUGACUAUACCAUUUCACAUCAUUCCAUUACAUGCUGGGGGUUCCACUUGCUCCACAUCCCAGCCAGCACUUGGUAUUAUCAGUCUUUGUAAUUUUUAGUCAUCCUAAUACAUGGAUAGCAGUAUCUCAUUAUAGUUUGACUUGCAUAUCCUUAAUAACUAAUGAUCUUGAACAUCUUUUCAUGCACAUACUUGCCAUCCACUUGUUGUCUUUAGAAUGUCUUUAAUUAUUUUGCCCAUUAAAAAAAAAAAAA
rnacentral:lncRNA from 9 species